rnacentral:lncRNA from 1 species
GGUGAAAGGGUGCGAAAUUUGGUGGGAUGAAGGAAAAAGGCUCAUGGUCUUGGUGUUUGGAUGGUGAUGGGAUGGUGUUUGAUGAUGCUUUAAGAGAGGUUAAACCAACUCUAGAGCAAGGUGACUAGAGGAGACCACAUGACAUGCUCUAGCCUUUGCUGACCUAAGAUGAAUAAUACAGCACAAAAAUGACAGCAUAACAUUACUCAAAUUCAAAAGUAAUUACAAGAGUAUGAGACACCUUUAUUUAUAGACUAAGGGUGUCUCUAAUUUGUAUAAGCAAAACCUAAAAACUCAA